AUUGAACGCUGGCGGCAUGCUUUACACAUGCAAGUCGAACGGUAACAGGGAGCUUGCUCCGCUGACGAGUGGCGAACGGGUGAGUAAUGCGUCGGAACGUGCCGAGUAGUGGGGGAUAACGCAUCGAAAGGUGUGCUAAUACCGCAUACGUACUGAGGUAGAAAGUGGGGGACCUUCGGGCCUCACGCUAUUCGAGCGGCCGACGUCUGAUUAGCUAGUUGGUGAGGUAAAGGCUCACCAAGGCGACGAUCAGUAGCGGGUCUGAGAGGAUGAUCCGCCAGACUGGGACUGGGACACGGCCCAGACUCCUACGGGAGGCAGCAGUGGGGAAUUUUGGACAAUGGGCGAAAGCCUGAUUCAGCCAUGCCGCGUGUCUGAAGAAGGCCUUCGGGUUGUAAAGGACUUUUGUCAGGGAGGAAAUCCCUAGUGCUAAUAACACUGGGGGAUGACAGUACCUGAAGAAUAAGCACCGGCUAACUACGUGCCAGCAGCCGCAGUAAGAC
rnacentral:rRNA from 1 species